GUCAUACUACGGUGCAUCACGGUAGAAAGUAAACGAUGACCCACAGGGAACUCUGGGUUAAAAUACGUAUCAAAAUGCAAACCUGAAUCCUGACCUGGAGCUUGCUCCGGGUCAGGUUUCUUU
rfam:Pantoea sp. PSNIH2, complete genome.